rnacentral:lncRNA from 1 species
UGAGAACUUCAAGGAGAAAGGAGUAGAGAAGAUUAGAAGUGACGACAGAGAGGAGGAGAAGAAAAAGGGAAGCGAGAAAUACAUAGAGAUAUACGAAGGGAAGGCAAAUGAUGAGGAGGAAAAGAAGGAUAUGCAUGGGAAAGAGAAAUAUGAAGGCAAGAAAAAGGAUGAAAAGGAUGAAAAACACAAGGAGAGAGAUAAAUCUAAAGGAAAAGAGGAUGACGAUUUGGAUAGAGGAGAAAAGAAUAAGAAAAAGGAUAAGGAAGAGAAAGAGAAGGAUAAGCACAAGAAUGUAGCAGAUGAGCAAAAAGGCACAAAACAUGAGGAGGAAGAUAAGAAGAACCUGGAAAAAAUCAAGAAGGAAGAGGAAAGGAAGCACAAGGAUAGAGAGGAUGUGGAGAAACAAGAUGAAGAUGAGGCACAAGUAGACUGUGAGAAAGAGCGAAAGAAGAAAGAGAAGAAAGAGAAGGAAAAGCAAAGGGGCAACUCGGUUGCGGAAACAGCAGAUGAAGAUAAGGGGAGAGGGGAGAAGAAAGAGAAGAAGAAGAAGAAGAAGACCAAGAAAACUGAUGUAGGAAAAGAAGAGAAAGAAGAGAAGCUAAAGAAGAAAGGGAAGAAGCAUGAUGAUGGACCGGAUGAUAGAAACAAAGAGGAGGAGAAAGGAGACGUUAAAAAAAAGAAUCAGAAGGUUGAAGAGGGUAUGGCUGAAAUUACUAAAAGAGAGAUUGAAUUAUGCGAAGAUGCUAACAAAUCUGAAGGAGAAGGGCAAAAUGAAAUUCAGAAAGGUGAGGAAGUUGAUAAGAAGGAAAAGGACAAGAAGGUUAAGGUUGACAAGAAAAGAAAGCUUGAUGGGAAGGAGAAGAUUAAAGAUCUUGACAAGCUAAAACAGAAGUUGGAGAAAGUAAAUAGUAAAAUCGAAGCUCUUCUGGAGAAGAAGUCGGAAAUCUUGAGGCAACUAAAUGAGGCUGAGCACGCAGAGACGUCUACUGGUGGAGCAGCUGAUGAAGCUAAUGCAGCUUAGGGUGAUAUGUGGACACUACUCUUUUCUUUUCUGUUUGUAACUGUCUGUUUUACUAAAGUUGCUACGUGAAUAAUGUAGGCUUUUCUUUUCCUUGUUCUAUAAAUGUAACGCUCUGUGUCCUUUUUAUCUUACCUAUAGUGAGCCUCUUUUUACAUAAAUUUCCGAAGGCUAUAGUUUUAUGUUACUAGGCCUCAAGGGAGUGCUAUAUCCGUGUCUCACAUAUGUGCCCUUAACUCUUAUUUGUGAUUCAUGAUUUAACUAUUAUGAUAUGUAAAUGCUUGAUCAUAGAGCUUCUCGGGCUGAUUUGGCUGGUUAACAAAUGAAAUACGCACAGGACUUGAGGAGUGUUGGAAGUAUCAAUUUUGGUGUAAAUUUGUUUGGUUAUGCAGUUGUUGGGUUGAUUAGAUGCACUCUGUCGAAGCAUGGCGCAACCAAAUCAUCAUGGCGUCAGGUCUUGUAUGAUGUGUGGGGUGUGGCACAUGUUGGAGUCUAGCUUCCUUGGCUAGUUUGAAGCUGGAAUAAGAAGGUUGCUAGGUCGUGAAAGCUUUGAAGGAAGCUGCACCGGGCAAGCUGUGGAAGAAAAUUCAUUGGCUUGUUGAGUUACUCGCCUUCUCAAAUUGGUGUCUCUAACUGAAGUUGAUUCACUGACUUGGUUUUGAGCAUCAGCAGUUUCGAGUCACUUGUGCACCCCUCCCGGUUAAGAAGAUUAGUCAUGCUACAUUUUGGAUUUUCUUAGACGUUCUGAAUUUCCUGAAGUGAGUCGCUGCAGCUCUUAGUCGUACAAAUUGUCUUAUUUUAGGGAUGCUUAGCAGCAUAGAAAUUAUAUUCAUAGUAACAUAAGUUCUGCCAAAUGGAAAUUUCAAUAAUUCUUGGCGGUGCAAAAACAUGUAAUUGUCCCCAUUGAAUUCCUAGUUUAGUUCCUCUUAAUAGGAGUGGUGGUGAGACCAAAACCAAAUGGGAAGAGGGGAUCGUAAUGAGGAUCCCCGACAUUCAUUGGAAGCUGAUCCACGGUUUUGAACCAUUUCCUAGGAAGCUUGGCCGUGAAGCCAUAAUCACCAAACAGAACAUCUGCAACCCCUUGGCCUUCAGUUCCUGGAAGCCAAGCAGCGACGAUAGCAUCCAUUGCUGCGACAUAGGGCUGGAUCACGACAGGACGACCGGAGAUGAUGACGACCACACACUUCACAGCUCCACAUACAUUCCAUAUGGUGCUUGUACCUGGGUCGGCAAUGGUCAAGUUUGUGCUGUCGCCAAAUGUCUCUGCAUAAGGGUGUUCUCCCACUACUACAAUGGCAUUAGAGAAUUUGCCGGAUUUGACAGUGUCCGUAUCCGGGUUCUCCUCAUAGACAACCGUAGUUUCUGGAUCAACAGUGUUCUUAAUGGCAGUGAGAAUUGUUGUACCUGGAAAAAUGAACAUUCGGUCUCUUAGAUUCUACAGGAAGACAUGAUCAUGAAGUUAGCAAAGUAGAGCUAUUCUAUGAUUGAAACAAUGAUCAAGUUCACAGUAAAUCAGGAAGAACGGAGCUAGUGAGGUUGUUGCCACUUAGUCCCUGCCAUUGAAUUGUCCAUCCACCACACUGAUACCCCAAGUUAUCUGCAUGGCUACCAGCAACAAGUAUUUUUGGCGCUUUCUUAGGAAGAGGAAGUAAUGGCGCAUCAGCUCCUUCGCCAUUUUUCAGGAGCACCAAGGACCUUCUGACAGCUUCCCUAGCCAAUUCUCUAUGCUCCUGUUUUUCAAGUUAACCAGAUUUGAUGAGUAAGGAUCAGAAAUCAUCCUUGACAUCUAGGUGAACCAGUAGAUUGAUCUCGAGCAAACCUGACUUCCUAGCUGGUUCACUAGGCUGGUAUCGGCCAGUGGAUCCUCGAAUAGCCCAUUGUGAAUUUGACUCGCAGUAUUCUCCUCACCGCAUCAUCAAUUCGGCUCAUUGGGAUGAUCUUAUCCUUCACCUGGAAGGUUAGCCCAUCGAUGAACUGCGUGAAAUUCGACGGGACCAUCACCUGCAACAGAUCAAAUCAAACUUGAGUAUGGACCGAUGAAAAUCUCUUUAGGUUCAUCUCGUCUCAUACAGCAUAGUGUAUAAUCAAUCACCAACCAUGUCAAUGCCCGCACUAAUUCCUGCUUGAAUGGAGUAGGAAUAGUUAGCAUGGGGGGGAGAGGUGAUCCUGUCAAUACCUUCCCAAUCUGAUAUGACAAACCCCUGCAUUUUUUUUAUCACUUUUUCAAUCAAUCAAAUGCAAAUUAUGGAGUCGGAACUGAAACGGUAGCGAGACGAUCUUUUACUCUGAAACGGAGCUUGUUUUUGAGGAAGCCUGUGACAAGGUUGCCAAUAGCAUGCAUCUUGACUCCAUUCCAGCUAGAGUACGAAACCAUGACGGUUGAGACACCCUUGAUGAUUGAAGUGUAAUAACCAGGCAUAUGGAUGCUAAGCAAGCCGUGCCAAUCUAUUACAGUGUUAUUCUCAUUGAUGCCAUUGGUCGUUCCACCAUUGCCGACGUAAUGCUUUGCACAUGCAGCCACAUUUUUCCUGUGCCAGGAAAGCGUAAAAAAUGCAUCAGAUGUCCUUCCCAGUGCACCCAGAGAGCAGAGCACGUUUAUUGUACUUUUUGAGAAUAAUUGUGCUUAUUUACUGUCACAUUCCAAAGUUAAACGAUGCAAAACGAAAGAGAAGAGGCAUCUUCCUUCAAUAGUUUACAUUGCAUAACUUGAAUGGAACUAGAAAUCAUGCUUGUGGGACUACAAAGAAAAAAUUAGCUCUACCUGACAGCUUAAUGAGCUUCUAGAUAACCUAAAUUGUUACUAAGAUUCACCAGCAUGACUGUAUUAUCCAUCACCAGAUUGUAUUUUAUCAUAAGCACGAUCGAGCUAGUGAUCAGUUUUUCUCAGCCUUAUACAGAGAAGAUAGAAAGUUUGAGAAAUGUACAGAUAUAGUUUCGAAUGCAACUAAAAUCUGCAGAUUUUGUUGAAGAGUUGGACCUUUCCCUAUCCAAGUUUGUGAGAGAAAGAGAGAGAGAGAGGAUGAACGCGGGCAAAUAUGGUGGUGGUGCGGCAACAAACCUUGCCCUUCAUAUAAUAGAAAUUUGUACUACCAACGCGUACAAAGUCGCACUCCUUUUCUUCGCUCAUCCCAAAGCACGAACAUGUAAAAACCGAAAUAGCACGAACGUGUACGAAGCUGCAUGUCCGUGUCGGGAAUAACUGAUUCCCUAAAACAGAUUCAACACUAAAUCGAACCCCUAAAACGAAUGCGGAAGAUAAGCCCAAGAACAACCAUGUAUCACCGAUCAAAUACACACCACAUAAUCGAGCAUAUUUUAUUAUCCACAGAUUAAACACCAACGAUGAAGUUUGAGGAAAAAUCUUGAUCCCGUUCUACCGAGGAGCAUACUGUUGCUGCAUACUGUUGCUGUAAGGAGGAGAAAACUUACAGAACGUACUAUUCUUUUCUAUUUUCUUCAUAGAGAGAGGGUGAAACGUCUUAGGAAAAAGGGGUCUUCAACGUACGUACGUUGAAGGGGUGCAAUCCCUUUUUCUUCUCUCUCUUACGUCUUCUCCAACAGACGCAACUCUUCAAUGUGUAACGUUCCCCCAAAAGACACAACCCCGUAUCUAAACAACACAACAUUUCACAUUGCAGCCGUUCCUCCAUGGGCUCUUAUCUUGUGGGCCAAGCUUUUAGGCCCAACAUGGGCGAACAGGCCCACUUAAGCCCAUCAACACAUGAAUAAAAAUCAUCAUCUCCCACUUGCACAUGGUGGACCGAAUAGGAUCCUCUCAUACCGGUGAAUAAUCCGUGCAACCAGCAUACUUUGAGAGCUCGUUGCUAUACAUCUAUUAAGAAUAUAUAGCAGUUCAUAAUGAGCAUCACACUCUGAGUAGAUUUAGUAUGCAGUACUAUAGAUCGAUCAAUCACAUUUAUAUCUCUCUUGAUUUCCUUUUAAAUAAUGAUAUAUUGUAUUCACAAUUAUGAUUAUCCCAAAAACAGUCAUAAUUGGUCGAUCAGUGAACACAAAACUAAUAUGUGAUUUUCCAAAUUCGAUCUUCCUCUUUUUUUCAAACUCUCAAUUUCAGUUCAGCUUGCUUUUCCAAGAAAUGUCCCAUUAGAUCGGAUCAAUUCAUGAUCAUUGUUACCACUAAAUAGAAAUCUUGAGAAUAAGUAAAAAUCAUGAUGACACUAAAUUGAGGAACUCUUUUCCUCAAGAAUCUCACACGGUAUAAAAGUUGAGAUCAAAUUUUGCCACUCUUAUUAGUCGUCUCAUACAUAUGUAGUAUGAAAUACGUAUUACGGUAUUUAACUCAUUUCCCAUGGAGCGUAUGUCUACACCUUUAAUACCGUACAGAUGAUAGUUCAGACAUACUUAAUGUCUAACUUGAGUUCAUGUAUCUACUUAUUCACAGAAUUCAUCAGAACUCAUAUAUGUCAUCAUAGACAGAUAAAGUAAAAUAUGUGGGUUAUUUUACUUUUGGACAUAGUAAAUAUUAUGUCCUCAUUUUAACACUCAGUUAAGGCGAUAUAUGUAUUUUAAGCUUGAGCUCUCAAUUAUCACAUAGAUAAUAAGCUUAAAAACCGUCUCAUCUUUAUUUGUCACACUGUAAAUAGAGGUGAUUACCCGUGUGAGUGGGCUAAUCUCUUAUCUGUCCGACAUACUUUCUUAAUUUAAUAUAAUGCACUGAGCAUUAAGAUGCAUAAACGUCAAAUAAAGAUUCAUAAGCAUUAAUGAUGAAAAACACAAAUUCAUUAAAUGUGAACACUUCAGGGAAAUUACAAUAUUCAAUACAUCAGCCUCUACGUAGUCCUAGAGAUUUUACAUUGCCACAAAACACAUUUUUAGGUAUUAGUUUUGUCAUAGGAUCUGCUACCAUUCUAUGCGUAGAUAUGUACUGUAAGUUCACAUUCUUUCGUGCAACCAUAUCCUUAACAAAAUUAUACUUGAUAUCUAUAUGUUUGGUCUUGCCAUGAUAUUUUGGAUGUUUGGUGUACAUUAUAGCUGCUUGGCUAUCACAGUUAACUAAUAAUGGAUUUGCAACAUACCCAAUAACCCCUAAAUGAUCCAAAAAUCUCUUAAACCAAACAUUUUCUUGUAAUGCUGUUGAUAAUACCACGAAUUCAGCUUCCAUCGUAGACAAGGCUAUACACAUUUGCCUCUUAUUACUUCAAGAUAUGGCCACAUUAUUCCGUAAGAAAGCAAAACCAGAGGUAGAUUUUCUUUAAUCUAAAUCUUCUCCCCAAUUAGCAUCUAAAUAGUUUUCAAGUCGCAGAUCAUUUCCUUGGUAAUUCAGCUUGUAAUUAGUAGUUCCCUUUAGAUACCUUAGUAUUCUUUUAACGGCCUUCCAAUGUGCUUGACCUGGAUUGGAUUGGUAUCUACUCACCAUUCCAACUGUAAAACAUAUGUCAGGUCUUGUACACAUCAUAGUAUACAUCAAGCUCCCAAUAGUACUAGCAUAAGGAACAUGUUUUAUUUGUUCAUUCUCUUGUAGAGUCCUUGGACACGGUCUAUCACAUUUUGCAAUAAGAGUGUCAAUGGGAAAGAGAUAAUGAUUCUUGCGAAAGAAAUAAUGAUCUCUUCGAACAAUCUCUUGAAAUCUUAACUCCAAGAACGUAUGCAACCCCAUCCAUAUUUUUCAUAUCAAAGUUGGAAGAUAAUCAACUCUUCACAGUAUUAACAAACUCCAUAUUACUUCCGGCAAUUAGUAAAUCAUCAACAUAUAAUGAUAUGAUCACAAAUUGAUCUUUGAAUCUUUUGAUAUAUAUACAAUGAUCCUCAUCUAUCAUUGUAAAAUCAUGUGCCAUUAUGGCAUUAUGAAAACGUAUAUACCAUUAUCUUGACGAUUGCUUAAGGCCGUAUAUUGAUCUCAAAAUUUGACAUACCUUUCCUUCUUGGCCUUCCAUAAUGAAAUCAACAGGUUGUUCCAUAUACAUUUCUUCUUCUAAUUCUCCAUUGAGGAAAGCAGUCUUUACAUUCAUUUGAUGUAACUCAAGAUCCAUACUUGCCACUAUUGCUAGAAUAAUACGAAUUAAGGUAAAUCUCACUAUAGGAAAAAAUGUUUCUUCAUAAUCAAUUAAUUCUUGUUGAUUAUACCCCUUCGCUAGAAGGUGAGUCUUAUGUCUUUUUAUCGAACCAUCAGUUUUGCGCUUUAUUUUGAGAACCCACUUGUUCCCAAUAGCUUUGCGUCCUUUUGGAAGAUCAACUAGUUCACAAAUAUGGUUUGACUUCAUUAACUCAAUCUCCUCUUCCAUUGCGUGUAUCCAUUUUUCCUUACUAGGGCAAUUUAGAACCUCAUUAAUAUUUCUUGGCUCAUCUUCAUCUUGUGGAGCAACCAUAAAAAGUUUCCCCUUCAAUGUCAAAACGUCAACGGAGAAUACUUUUGCAACUUGUUCGCCGUAUGGGAGAUUGUAUACUUUACACGUCAUUCCCCAUCAUGCUCCCACUCGGAUUAAAUAAUGACAAUAUCAUCUCAUCAUAUGGUUGUAAUUGAGAGUGAGUUGAAUUAAAUUCAUAAUUUCUUAUGUUACUCCCACUUGCACGAAUUCCAUUAAGUUCAUUAUCUUGAUCAAAGGUUUCAAAUAGGGAGUAAUCCUCACAUAUUUUGCCCUUCUUAGGAAAUUCAUUCUCUAAGAAUGUGACAUCCCGUAAUUCGAAUUCAGUUAUACUUCCACUUUCCUACUCAUUUAUGAACAUAUACCAUUUCGAGUGUUCAAAGUAUCUUAUGAAAAUACUCUUCUUUCCACUAGGACCCAAUUUCCCAAACUUGUGAGAGGGCUCAUAAGUAUAGUUAACACAACUCUAUGGUUUAAGAAAACUUAAGUUCGAUUUUAUGCUUGUUCAUAACUCAUAUGGAGUUGAAGUAACUGAUUUGGAAGUCAUCUGAUUAAGUAUAUAAACAGCAACUAAUAACGCAUCACUCCAAAAAGUGAUGUGUAAGUUAGCAUGCAUCAUCAUGGACCUAACCAUUUUUAAUAGGGUUUUGUUUUUUCUCUCCGCAACACCAUUUUGUUGAGGAGUGUAUGGAAUAGACAAUUAUCUUUCUAUUUCUUUUUCAUCACAUAAUUUUCUGAACUAAUCAGAUAAAUAUUCUCGACCACGAUCGGAUCUCAAUACUUUUAUUUUAUUGUAUAAUUAAUUUUCUACCAAGUUCAUAAACCUUUUGAAACAACUCAAUACUUCAGAUUUAUGAGAAAUUAAAUAGAUAUAUCCGAAUCGAGUAUAAUGAUCUAUAAAUGUGAUGAAAUAAACAGCCACAUGCAUUCCUCUUACAUUCAUCGGAUCACAAACGUCAGGAUGGAUUAAAUGCAAAGGAAAUUCAACUCUUUUACAUUUUCCAAAUGGUUUCCUUGUCGUUUUCCCUACUAGGCAAUGCUCACAUAUGGACAAAUCGACUUUUUCAAUGUUGCCCAACAAGUCCUCUUUGGUUAGUCUAUUCAUACAUUGUUGGCAAAUAUGACCAAGUCUAACAUGCCAUACAUUCACAUCAUUAUCAUAUAAAUUAGGAGACGUGAAAAGGGAAUAGCAAAUAUUGACAUUACCAUAGUUAAUAUUUAAUACAAUGAAACCAUUUAGAAAAUAACUACAACCAUAGUAAUUUGUAUCCAAAUACAAAUCCACAUCAUUAUUAUAGAAGUUCAUAUUAAAAUCAAGCUUAACCAACGAUAAAAUAGACACUAAAUUCCGAUGAAUCUCCGGAGCAUACAAUACAUCAUAUAGGAACAAAAUGCGUCCACCACGCAUGUUUAAUUAGCAUGUGCCAAUUCUUUUUACUUCUACUCUGAAGUUGUUUCCUACAUAGAUCCACUUAGUUCCAGUUUGUACUCAUCGGAAUUCCACGAAGGAUUUUCUAUCCUUCGCUACAUGGUCUGUUGCCUCCAAAUUUACAGUCCACAAAGGAUUAGAUUUAGCUAUUAAUAUAGAACUUGACACAUUAACAAAGUUCUUAAGAGUAUAAGGGGCGAGUACCUUCUUUAGCUCGUGAUAAUCACGAGCCUAGUGACCCUUCUAGUCAUAGUUGUAACACUUCACCCUUGAAAUACUCUUCACUCGGGGACGUUUUCCUCUCUUAUGUUGAUUAGUUCUUGGUUUCUUACAAGAAGGACUUGAUCCCUUGCAUAACCACAUAUUAAAUGAAUCAAUGCGCUUGCACUUAGAGCUCGAAGCCCCUUUUGAGUUGGAAGCAAUAUAGCAAAUAUGUGUUUCCUUUUCAGAUACCUUAAGGCAGUCCUCGGCUAGCUUAAGGUGACGCACAGCAUCCUCAAUUUCUUCCAUAACAUGGUCAAGAGCUUCUAGUGUUUCUUGCUUUUCAAGAACAUAUUGAAUUUUCAUAUUCAAUAUUUCACAAUUCUCGCCGUUCAUUUUGUCUUCUUUGUUCAAAUCAGCAAUUAUGUUAUUAGUUGCUGAAGUCAUCGAUUUGAACAUAUCAGACACAUAUGCAUGAAUUAUUAAUACAUAUUAUUUAUGCAUCUAUUUUGCAUAGACUCAUCAUAUUAAUGAAUAAUUUUAAGUAUGAUUUUAGAAUUAAAAUGUCACUAUGUUUCCAAUCAUCAUCCAAAAAAUCAUGACUUAAAACUAUCAUUAAUAUAAUCUUUUAUGCAAAAUAAGUCCAGCAAAGUCACAAUUUUUUUUUUUUGAACUUCUAUUUACAACAAUAAAUAACAUUGAAUUUUCAAUUAUUAAACAUGUCAAUUACACUAAGUAAUAUAUUCAGAGGAAAAAACAUCAACAUAGAAAGAGAUAUUAACACCUAAAAACAUCUCGGACUAGUCUAAAAAAUAAAUGGGGAAAAUCUUUUCUAAUCUAUCAGUAAAAUUUUCUAAGAAUUCUAAAGGCACAUUGAUCAACCAUGGAAAAACGUUUGGAGAGCUCUCAUGCCACCUCCAAGGCGCAUUCACUCUGCGUCAUGUGGCACUCAUCCCAAGAGUUGAAGUUUUAGUCAACUCCAUCCUAUAAUAUUCUCUUACAAAAGGUACCGUAAGUCUCCUAUAAUCCAGGACCACAUUGACCUCCCAUAGGCGAUCUAACACUACUUGUCAUUUAGGUGGAAGAGUGUUUAUUAAAGCCGGCACAUUCUCAAAAUUCGACAUAUGAUAACCAUUCCAUAUGAUUUCUUGUAUCAUCUGAUUGACCCUGACCACGUGUGAUACUAUAUCACCGUCGUUCCACCGAUAAUUAGUUAACUCCGUCAUUAGCCAUUUAAGCCUUAUAUUUUCUUCGUCCGUUCUAGGAAAUGCAGAUAUGCGUGCAUAACGCAUCAUAGUUUCUAUAACAAAUGCAGUACAAAAAUGGAUUACUUAUAAUCCACAAUAAACAAAAGGGAAAAUACAUAAUUUUUCAUGGUUCAUGCAACAAAUGUAGAAUUAAAAUGGAUUACUUAUAAUCCACAAUGAACAAAAUGGAAAAUACAUAAUUUUUCAUGAUUCAUAGAACAAAUGCAGAAUCAAAAUGGAUUACUUAUAAUCCAUAAUAAACAAAAUUGGAAAAUACAAAAAAAAAAAAAAUCAGCCGGUCAACGCCAAUCAACUCCAGUCAACAGUCAACGAAUGACCAGGUCGAGUCAACGGGUCAAUGGGUCGGGUCAAAUGGGUCAAGUCAACGGGUCAAAGGUGGUCAACAAUCAAUGGCCGUCGGGUUGGGUCGAAUCGGGUCGAGCCGGUUGGGCUGAGUCGGACGAACCGACCGACACGUGCUGCGCAGGCUGACAUCACGAAGACGUCAGCUGGCAUGUGCGUGGCAAGCUUCCGCACGUGCGACGCACGCGCCUAGGAAACGAAUUGGCACGUGCGUCACACGCACCUAGUUGAGACCGAAUCACACGUGUCGACGACACCAGUUCCUUCCGGCUGCACGUGGCAGCGCGUCCAGUGGCCUCCAGCGGCGAUCCGCCACUCGUUUUUCUCGUAUUGACGAGAGCUUCGACCAUGCGCUAUCAAAAACGAAUUUCGACUUGCAGAAAAUUACAAAACAGGGUGAACAGUACGCGGGUGUCAGGUUUUUCCGUCCCCGAUCCACCGGCAGCGGCUUUUCUCGAAUUUCGACCACAAACAAUAAUUCAAUAACAUAAAAAGGGAAUUGGGAAACAUGAACUACGGCUCUGAUACCAAUGUCGCGAAUAACUGAUUCCCUAAAACGUAUUCGACACUAAAUCGAAUCCUUAAAACGAAUGCGGAAGAUGAGCCCAAGAACAACCAUGUAUCACCGAUCAAAGACACAUUACGGAAUCGAGCGUACCUUAUUAUCCACAGAUUAAAUACCAGCGUUGAAGUUUGAGGAAGAAUCUUUAUUCCGUUCUACCGAGGAGCGUAUUGUUGCUGUAAGGGGGAGAAACUUACAGAACGUACUGUUCUUUUAUGUUUUCUUCAUAGAGAGAGAGAGAGAGAGAGAGAGAGAGAGAGAGAGAGAGAGAGAGAGAGAGAGGGUGAAACGUCUUAGGAAAAAGGGGUCUUCAAUGUACGUACAUUGAAGGGGUGCAAUCCCUUUUUCUUUUCUCUCUUACGUCUUUUCCAACAGAUGCAACUCUUCAACGUGUAACGUUCCCCCAAAAGACACAACCCCGUAACUAAACAACGCAACCUUUCACAUCGCAACCGUUCCUCCAUGGGCCCUUAUCUUGCGGGCCAGGCUUUUAGGCCCAACAUGGGCGGGUAGGCCCACUUAGGCCCAUCAACACAUGAAUAAAAAUCAUCACUCCGCUUGAGGGACCGUGUUAAAAAUGAAAAGCGCCAACGCAUGAAAAGUCAUCUUUCUUUUCUUUUCCUUUCAUUUUUGGCCUUUUCUACGCUCGUCUCAAAGAUGUUUUCAUUGGCCUCGAAACAUACAAGAAAUCAAUUCGUCAACAUACUAUUUUUGGUAAGUUGACUAAUAACUGAAAAAGGGAAAGGAUAAUAUGAGAGAAAUUUUCUUGUACAUGACGCACACCGCACACGAGCGGUCCUGUAUAUAUAUACAUACUCUUCACCUCUCCCUCUCUGUGUCAUCCCCUCGCUCGACCAUUUUUCCCCUCUCUCUCUCUCUGCCCGACCCCUAUUCCACCUCUCUCUCUCUCUCUCUCAACCUCUCACCCAAUGGAACUCAAUGCACGUCUUUGUGUCCGACACGAAGAAGUCCUUAGAACACAAAAUACUUGGAUGCGGAAUCAAGAGAAGCCGUCGAUAUCGUAAGUUGAUUUUUUUUAAUAUCAUCUUACUUCACCAAAAUAUUUAUAUCUUUUUUUUUUGUUAGGCAAGCGAAAAAACAGCAUUACUAGAGAAUUCAUGAGGAGGCUAAGAAGGCAAUGCUUGAGACAAUUCAGGAAGUCAAGAAUCAACGCGCCUUGGUCCUCCAUAGUGUGGAGGACGCCAAGGCGUUUAUGAAACUCUUGCUGACGCAUUUUCAGGACCGCAGCAGAUUGCAACAGGUGGAGGUCUUUGCCAGGCUGGCCUCAUCAGUUAAGACAUCAAUCCAUAGGAUUUUAGGACCAAGUUUGUUUUUAACCAACACAAUUUAUAGAUUUGACCCCCUACUCCUGCUGCUCCCCCAGCUCGGGGUGCAGCUUGGGCUAGUACUUCUGGUACUCGGUAGUCUACUAGAUUGCCUAGUUCUGUUCUUUCUUUUCUUUUCUUUAAAUAAAAGAAACGCUAGUCUGUGAUGGAAAAAAAAAAACAUGUAGAAGGACUAAUCUUGUGAAAAUUAUAUUACACAUGCUUGUAUAUCUAAGAACGGCUUUUGUAUAUCUGAGAACAGCUUUGUCUUUUGUGUAUAUGAUUUUUCUUUUCGAAUCCUAUCUGUAUGAUUACUCGAACUGCUGCAUCUCUCUACUCACCUUAACUCCUUGAAGCAGUUCAAUCGGAUGAGCUGACUAGCGGAUGAGCUGACUAGGCUGAAUUUAAGCUUGACCUCAAAGGGUCAUGCUUUCUUUUUACUUUUCGCUCGUAGCAGGAAGUGCCCUUUUCUCGGCUAAUCUUUGAUGGUUCUAGUUUGCGAUCACCGCACGACCGUUGCACGAACGUCGUAUGACCGCCGCACCACCGCCGCACCACCAUCGCACGAAUAUCGCACGAUCGCUGCACGACUGCUGCAUGACUGUUGCACGAUCGCCGCAUGACCGCUGACUGCCACCACAAGAUCGCCGCCCACAACCCACCAGCUGUGGGAGGGGGCGACAGCCGGUGAGCUAUGGGUGGCGAUCCUAUGGCGACAGUCGGCGACAACAGUCAGUGGUCAUACGACUGCAGGCAGCAGUCGUGCGACGGUUGUGUGGCAAUUGGCGACGGCAAGCUAUUGGCGAACAGUGACGAUCGUCGGCCGAUGGAUUAUGGGCAGCGACUAGUGGGCUACAAGUGGCGGCGAUCGUCGCCAACAGUCACCGGCGGUCGGCUGCUGACAGUGGCUACAAGCAGCAAGAGGUGGCCGACGGUUGGCAGGCGGCUGAUGGUGGCCACAACAAGAAAGAAAAACAAAAGAAAAAUAGAAAAUAAAAAAAAAACACUUAUUUCUAAAAAUUAUUUCCUGGAACAAGAAGCUAUUUAUUUAUUUAUUUAUUAUUAUUUAUGUUCCAAAUCUAUUCUCAAGCCACUUUUUUUUAUUCUGGGGAAUAGAAAAAUAUGUUGGCGUUAUCAAACAGCUUUCCGUUCUUUUUUCGUUCCAGAAAACAAAAGAAUAGAAAUCGGAAGAAAUAGCAACGUUAUCAUGCAGGCCUUUCGCGUCCGGUAAGAAGAAUUUCUUAGCGCACAAAAAAAUUGGUGGUGGUAUCGAGAGAAGACGUCAAUAUCGUGAGUUGGACUUUUUUUAAUGAUCAUCUUACUUCUUUGAAAAUCACGACUAUGUGAGGUGCUCUUUUUGUAAAUUUUGUAAAGUAUGAAGUCAGCGUCUCAAAGAUCCCAACUAUGUGAUUUUUAAUUUUCAUUUCCGAAUCAGCUUCUCUAUGAAUGCUACAAGAAUAGUUCGAUGUAUUUUGGAGUCAUGGCACCAAAAUAAUUAUGAGCUCUUAUAUGUUUAUAUUUAUUUUUUCAGAGAAGUAGAAAGGCAGCAUUACAAAAGAGUUUUUGAAGAGGCUAACAAGGUUAUGCGUGAGACGGUUUAAGAAGUCAAAAAUCAACGCGCCCUGGUACUCCAUAAUAUGGAGGAUGCCAAGACGUUUAUGAAAAUCAUGUCGGUAUAUUUUUAGGACCGUGGCCAAUUGGAACAAGUCGAGGUCUUUGCCGAGUUGGCCCCAUCAAUCAAGACAUCCAUGCACAAGGUUUUAGGUGCAAAUUUGUAUUUAACACGAUUUAUCGAUUUAACCCACCUGCUCCUCCAGUUGCUGGUGUAGCUUCGGCUAGUACUUCUGGUACUCGGUAGUCUACUAGAUUGCUUAGUUCUGUUCUUUCUUCUUCUUCUUUUUUAAAUAAAAGAAACGCUAGUCUGUGAUGAAAAAAAAACAUGUAAGAGGACUAAUCUUGUGAAAAUUAUAUUACACAUGCUUGUAUAUCUUAGAACAGCUUUGUCUUUUGUGUGUAUGAUUUUUCUUUUCGAAUCCUAUCUGUAUGAUUUACUCAAACUACUGCAUCUCUCUACUCACCUUAACUCCUUGAAGCAGUUCAAUCAGAUGAGCUGACUAGGCUAAAUUUAAGCUUGACCUCAAGGGGUCCUGCUUUCUUUUUACUUUUUGCUCGUAGCAGGAAGUGCCCUUUUCUCGGCUAAUCUUUGAUGGUUCUAGUUUGCGGGCAGUUCUGGGAGUCUGCAUACUGACUUUUUCUUAUGGUGGCAGAUCAAUAGGCCUUUCUCCUCCUGUCCCGAUCCGAUCCAGCUCUUUCUUUCAUCACUUAGCCGAGUUCCUCGCUACGAAAUGUGAAGUGAAACACAUGGGUCGUUGAAUAAUAUGGACCCCACACAUAAGGUUCGCAUGAUCCAACGAUUGAGAUAGAGCGAAUUCAUAUGAAUCAAAUGUCCGUUGACAGGACGUUUACAUGAAUUGAGUUGGGGGAUGAUUGCCUCUUGCCAUUUCUGUCCAUGACGGGACGAAGCAGACGGUGGGCUUCCCGUUAGCGACGGUUAUAGUUGGGCCCUCAAGGCCAUCAUGGCAUUGAUUUGAUCCGCGCAAGUUUCCCCUUCCAAUGGGCCGUCACGUUCAUUAGCAUUUUCCCGUUAAGUUCUUAAGAACGACAGGAGAACAUGAUGGUUUUGUUUUUCUUUUAGAGCCCCUUCUUCAAAGUCCCUCGGACAGUCUUCUUCUGUUUACGAAUUUGGUACUUAAUUGCACUUUUUGGACGAGUAUUAAAACUUGAUUUCAAGAGAUCGUUCGAAGAGAUCAUUAUAUCUUUCGCAAGAAUUGGUUAUCUUCCAACUUUGAUAUGAAAGAUAUGGAUGAUGCUGCAUACGUUCUUGGGAGUUAAGAUUUCAAGAGAUCGUUCGAAAAGAUCAUUAUCUCUUUCGCAAGAAACAUACAUAAAUAAGGUUCUUGAACGACCAUUUUCAUUCUUGCCUUCACCAAUGUUUCAUUAGAUAGUGUUCAAAUAGCUAAUACUUAGUUUUACAUUGCAGUUUUCAGUUGCUCAAUAACAUGCUCGCUUUAGAUAAGAAAAGCAUGUGCAUAGUCUAAUUCUUCAUAAAUAUUUCAAUUUAUAGGUUUGUUUAACAUUUUUUUAUUUACUAUUUUUAAUUUGAUUUGACGUUUUUAUCCAAUUAGCAUAUAGCUUAAAGUGAGUGUGGGUUUUUCUAGAAUAUUAAUGGGUUUUAGCAAUACGGGUCGGAUUGGAUAUGGGUCGGGUCGGGUAUGGGUCACUAAAUUUACACUAUAGAAAUAUGGGUCAAAACGGGUUACAUGAGUCAAAUAUAGGUCGACCCAUUUUCUACCCAACCCACCCAUUUGACGGGUCUAGAUGCAAUCAUUGGAAAAUGGCAUUCCUUUUCCCGUUCAAUUUGUGUAAUUGGUUGCUGAGUUGCAUGCCAAUUUUCAAACUUUCUUGUGCUUUGCUUGACUUUAUGGAUUCUUGGUCGUGCUUGAUUGAUCUGUUCAUGAGUUGCAGCAAGAUACACUAAUGGAGUAAUUGAUGUUGACUUGGAACUUAGAAGAUCACUAUCAGAUAUCAGCAAUGAUUUCGCCAUUUGUGAUAUACUGAUAUGUAUUACUGUUUUGUUCAUGUUACUCAAGAAUGACGAUAGGCCUAAUGUUGCAAACAUUAGAGUUAGUAUAUAAUCGCGGCGUUGUUUGAGGACCACACUUCGAAAACCACGAAGUGGUAAAAGUCGCAAAUUUCCUUUAAUAAGCGAAGAUUAAGACCAUGCUAAUCAGCCUCGUAUUGACUUGUGGGGCUUUUUAAAAAAAAAUUUAAAAAAAAAGACUUAAUUUUUGUGUCCAAUCUUGCGUAUGGAAGAUUACAUUGGAUGUUGGGCAGAAUUAUGGGGUUUUAUUGAAUGGAGAAUUGAUCUUGAUGAUGUAAACUUGCAAUUGUAACUUCAAAAAGUAGAAACACACGAGAAAGUUCAACCAUAAACCGGAAACAUCCAUUAUUCAUGGCCUUGCCGCAUUUCAUGUUGUUUAAAAAUGCAGAAGAGCUAUUACGCAACUUAUAAAUCCAGCUAAAAAAAAUCAAGUGCUACAAAUAAUUAAUAAACAAACAUAUAUCCGCAGUUGAAAAACUAACUUUAAAGAGGUGAAGAGGUUGCAGAAUCAAAGCGAUGCAUAUCAGCUAUGUGGAUGCAUAACAGCUUUGUGGAUGCUGCGUGAAUGAUGCUUUGGUUUUGUUAAUUAAUCACUAGCUCAAUUCUUGAAGGUAACUUUCCCUUGAGCUGUUGCAAAGCACGUUCUCAAGUUCCUUCAGUCUUUUCAUCCCAUCCAGGAAAUAUGCUUCUUCACAGGGAUUCACCACUAACUUCUCCAAAGCAAUGUCAUUCUCAACAAGGUAAUUCACCAGUUCAUGAUCACAAGGUCGACCAUAAUAAUUGUAAAAUUCAACCUCCUUUAGGUACAUAUGGAAAGGUCUAACAACUCUUUUCAAUUCUCUCUACCUGCAUAGCAUAUUUGAUGGCCACAUCAACUGUGAAAAAGAAGAAUGCCGUAUAUUAUUCAUCACCACAAGAUAUCGAUGGAUUGGAGAAUGCUAGUGGAAGAGAGAAUUUGCCAAAAAAAAGUAUGCAUGCGUGAUUGUCACAUCAUGUAAAUACUAAUCACGUGAUGUCCCAAUGACACCUAUAAGCAGAGACUUGAAUAGGAUUCAAUAGUGGCUUGGUUUAUUAUAUUCUAUCCUCCUACAUUUGUCUAAUGUCUAAAUAGAUGGAGAUUUGAAUGAGGCUAAAAUCCCACCUCAAACACAAAACUUCACAAGGAGGCACAUGCCUCGAUCACGAGAGUGAAUGGAAGUAGGCUUGCAUCUCCAUAUCCUUGAACGCUCACUUUCAAUUGCUUACACUUGGCAAUUUAGGUAGUUGACAGAUAUGCCAGUUUUCCUACAUGAGAGAGAGAGAGAGUAUCAAUGACAACAAAGACAGCAAAAAAGAUAUAACCUAUGAAACCUUACGAAAAUCAGUCAAGGCUUUUACAUCGGGUGAAAUAACAUAGUCAAGUUUGAGAAUCUGUAGACAAGAAAGACUUGAAAGAAAAGACAAGGCUGCAUGCACAAACCCCCAGCUAGUUCCCAUAAUACAUAUCUCAGACAGAAGGGGGAGCUUGUCCAAACACAUUGGAAUAUCCAUUCCCAUGAUAGUGAAGGAUGCAAGAUUUGUAUCAAAAAUCUCAACGUGUUCAAGAUCGACACAACAUGAUACGAGCAAGUAUUUCAACUUCAAUGAUCGGCCAGAAACUCUCAACCUAUCCAAAGCAAAAGCAUCGUGCAAAGUUAAUCGCUCUAGAACCGAACAAUUGGCAAGCAAUUGCUCGAUGAGUUCUCCCUCUACAAUGAUUCUAUGCAAGGUGAGCUCUUCAAGAUACCUCAAGCCAACAUCCCAGAAGGGCUAAAUGCAAAAUUAUUUAGACAUGAAGCCCGUUGUGAACACCCUACAUCAGCAUCCAUCAGUGUCUCCCAGCCUAAGAGAUAUGGCAAGUGACUCGGGUCACGAUCAUUCAUUAAAUCCUCUAGAGAUGCUGGGUUAAAAAUCAGUUGGAGAACUUUAACUCGUUUUGCCAACGCAAAUCUAAUUUACCGAUUGAUGUGAGACUGAUAUGAAAUAUUCAAGUCGAAGCCUAAUGCAAAUCUACGUAAGUGGUAUUAGGGGUGAGCAUGGUCCAGGUGACCCCCUAACCCUAGGACCAACUCGUACAAUGUCGGUCCUUAAUUUUUAGGACCAAGGACUGACCCUAUUGAGCUUGGGACCAAGGACCGGACCGACCCAAUGGGUUCAGUCCGGUUCCAGGGUCAACCCGGGACCGAUCGAUAAUUUUUUUCGUCUUAUUUUUUAUACUCCCUAAAAAAGCAAACUUAUAAAUUCAAAUUACACAUCUAUCGACAAUGCGGCAUUGUGCAACUAAACUAUAAAUACCAAUACAUAUUUAGCAAAUUUAAGAUGACAUAAUAAUAGAAAUUUCAUACCUACUAACUGCUCAUCGAGAUAUGGAACAAGAUGGAAAGUUCUUGUAAUCAUCUAUCUUUAAUAUUCAUAACAUCAUAUGCAAAAGCGUUUUCCUGCAUUUGAUCAUGUAGAAUCCACUCAACCAAAAAAUGAACUUCACACCAUUUGACUAGCAAAUUAUCGUAGCAAAAAUGAACUUCACACCAUUUGACUAGCAAAUUAUCGUAGCAAAUGCAGUACUACUCUACUUUUCAAAAACUUCUACCAUUUGACACAAAUUGAAAGCAAAGUGCAGCUGAAAUUCAUUAGUAAAAUACAAUUAAACCAUAAAAAGUUUAAAAUACUUAAUAUAAACCAUGAAUAUAUAACUUCACGUUCCGUAUUUUAAAAAACAUAAAAAUUAUUUAAGCACAAUAACCGCGCCAAGUACUAUUUUUACCCAAGGCCUCCUUCCGGGGGGGCCCGAGCCAUCAGUGAGAUACCACUCUGGAAGAGCUAGAAUUCAUGUUAAUUCACUUGAACUUCUAAACACUUGAAAACAAAAUAAACGACAGAUAAUUAAUACUCAACAAAAGUUUUAAAUUGAAAUUACUAUUAGUAAUUACUAUUAGUGCUAUUGAUAAAACAUCUCAAUAUAAUAUAAUAUAACAGAUAUUUUACUUAGAUUUGAAUAUAUAAAAGAAUUAUAAAUAAUAUAAUAUAAUAUAAUAUACAGGGUUGAUCCAGGGUUGAACCAACCCAAAACUCUUAGGACUGAGGACCAACCCAAGCACAGUGUUGGUCCUGGAAUUUCAGGACCAAGGACCGACCUAGUCCCCUUGGGAACUGGACCAGGACCGGCAGGGUUGGGCCGGUCCAGGGUUGGUCCAGGGUCGACCCUAGACCGCUGCUCACCCCUAAGUGGUAUCCUUCAUAUUGUGGAUACAAAGCAUUGUCCACCCAUUCCACGUAUCUCUCCCUCUCCUUUUCUGCCAACUCCGGGCUAUCUUUCAUCUCGUCCAACAACUCACGCCGGUCGAAGUCAAGGUUGGUGACCCGACAUGCAGACAAAUGCCUCCAUCUUCUGGAAAGAAGACAAGUGGCUUGUGCUUCUCUAGACUUCAAAAGAGACAAUAUAAAGCCUAUAACGUCUUCAGGCAAACAGCUGAUCCGAUCCUCCUUUGGGUUGAGUUUCACCAAAAGAAAAACAAAGAAAGUUAGAAAUAUCUGGAAAUAAGACGGAUGGAAGAUAGGAAGGAAGCAGGAAAACUUAUCAAACAAACAUGAGAAACUCAAAUUUCCUGUCAAGGACAUUCAUUUCCAUUAACCCAACCAAGAAAAAGCACAAAGACGAAAGUUUCCUUGUCAGCAGAUUCGGCUUCAGAAUCAGAGCGGAGCCUGUUUGGAGAUGGAAAAUCCAUGGACGCUGGGAUUAGUUCACCCUCCAUUACGUAUUCUCCUCUUAGCCUUCCCGAUCACAUCCUGCGUCUGCGUCUUCAGGUUUUAGGCAAAUCUUCUAAAGCACCCUCCGAGGGGAUAUCUUUUUUAAAAUUCCUAAUCAGCGUUAUCUUUUUUAACCACGGAUGAGGAUUCUGGCCCCAAAUAAGUAAAAAAAAUAAAUAAAUACCAUAUAUGAGGAUUAACAUUGUGAAAAUUUAUAUUGCACAAAAAAAAUGAAGAGAAAUAUGUUAUCGCUAAUGGCAUGUCUUAAAUAAUUUUUAUAUUUUCACUUUGACGUUUUUCCGUAUGCGAUACUUGAAAAUUUCAAAUUUUUUAUUUUUAAAUGAACAAUGAAAUAUUAUAAUUUAAUUAGUAUGAGAAACGAUUUUUUUUACCUAAUUUGUUUUUAAUUCAUGCAUGCGAAUCAUCUUUCAAUCUCGAGCCAAAUCAUGCAUCAAAGGCUUAAUCCAUCAUUCAUAUGAUAUAUAAUUGUACUUUUGAAAAAAACAAAAAUUAGGAUCCGAUCUCAUCUUUAUAGAUUACCCCCAAGAGAAGGAUGAUUAAUGUCACAGCCUUCAAUCAAGGAAAAACCCCUAACAAACAACGCAAGCUAUUCACCAAUUGCCGACGAAAUUCUUGAGCAUUUGUGUUUUCUUCUAAAAUCAGCUUCAACUGAGAUUUCCCUUCCCUGUAGAAGAGUUCAUCAUCUUCCGAUCUGACCUUCUCUCUCUCUCUCUCUCUCUCUCUCUCUCUCUCUCUCUCUCUUUAAUGGAAAGGGAGGAGUCGAGAUCAAAGAAUCAGCAAAGCUCGGCAGAUGCGGAAGCAGCGGAGGCUAUGAAGCUGUUCUUAUUUCGAGCCUCCGAGUGCUCCGUCUAUUCGGUACAUGUUGAUCAUCAGAAAAGGACAUUCAUACUCCCGCUCAAUCUAUCGAAUUGCGUAUUGGUUGCUGAGUAGCCUGCCAAUUUGCAAACUCACUUGUGUUUUGCUUGACUUCUUAGAUUCUCAUUAGGCCAGCAAAAUUACCUGACUGAUCCGCCUGCGUUGGGAUUCAAUAUUCACAUUUUCUUUUUCUCCUUAUGUUGUUGCUUUUAAAGAAUAGAUGAAUCCAUGAACUGACUCAUCAAAUUAGAGAGGAAGCUUAGAGGACGGGUUAUGGACAAGGCAUGAAGGCGGUGGUGAAAGUCUGGCCCUAGCCAUCCACAAAUCAUGAAAGUAAUUUGGAUUUUGAUUCGGGGUUAAAUACAUAUGGAAUGUGGACAUUCCUUAAAUUAUGAAACGGCUUCGAACUUUGAGUUUGGUCUUGACAAAUCAUAUUUAAAUUCGAGAUAUAAAUCUCAAUAAUUUGUUAGAAAAAUGUAUAUCAUGGAGAUGAAAUCAAAGUUGCGGAGGGGACAUGACAUCGAUUAAGUGCUAAUUGCGAAAUAAUCCAGGCAAAAUCCUAACAUGGUUUUUCCAACAAGACAAGUACAAAAUGACAUUGUUUUGCAUACUAACAUGAUUAGAUAAGCCAAAAACGACGCCAUUUUACAUGACAUUGUUAGAGUGCAAUGAAAAUCUUGAUUGUUGUUCGCUUCGAUUUUGCUAGGAUUGGAAUUGACAGAGACUAGAGGGAAUUUUCCAUUUCUUGGAAAUAAUCCAGAAGUUUAACUUCUGAUGGUGUAAAAUUAUGUCGGCUGCAAGCACAUUUUUUGGUUUCCUUGCUUGCUCUACCAGAUAGAGUAAGAACACAUCAUGAAGCUAGCAAAGUAGAGCUAUUCUAUGAUUGAAACAGUGAUCAAGUUCACAGUAAAUCACGAAGAACAGAGACAUUGAACUGUCGCUUACCACUAGUGAGGUUGUUGCCACUUAGUCCCUGCCAUUGAAUUGUCCAUCCACCACACUGAUACCUCAAGUUAUCUGCAUGGCUACCAGCAACAAGUAUUUUUGGCGCUUUCAUAGGAAGAGGAAGUAAGGGCGCAUCAGCUCCUUCGCCGUUUUUCAGGUGCACCAAGGACCUUCUGACAGCUUCCCUAGCCAAUUCUCUAUGCUCCUAUUUUUCAAGUUAACAAGAUUUGAUGAGUAAGGAUCAGAAAUCAUCCUUGACAUCUAAGUGAACCAGUAGAUUGAUCUCGAGCAAACCUGACUUCCUAGCUGAUUCACUUGGCUGGUAUCGGCCAGUGGAUCCUCGAAUAGGCCCAUUGUGAAUUUGACUCGCAGUAUUCUCCUCACCGCAUCAUCAAUUCGGCUCAUGGGGAUGAUCUUAUUCUUCACCUGGAAGGUUAGCGUGAAAUUCGACGGGACCAUUACUUGCAACAAAUCAAAUCAAACUUGAGUAUGGACCGAUGAAAAUCUCUUUAGGUUCAUCUCGGCUCAUACAGCAUAAUGUAUAAUCAAUCACCAACCGUGUCAAUGCCCGCACUAAUUCCUGCUUGAAUGGAGUAGGAAUAGUUAGCAUGGGGGGGAGAGGUGAUCCUGUCAAUACCUUCCCAAUCUGAUAUGACAAACCCCUGCAUUUUUAUCACUUUUUCAAUCAAUCGAAUGUAAAUUAUGGAGUCGGAACUGAAAUGGUAGUGAGAUGAUCUUUUACUCUGAAACGGAGCUUGUUUUUAAGGAAGCCUGUGACUAGGUUGCCAUUAGCAUGCAUCUUGACUCCAUUCCAGCUAGAGUAAGAAACCAUGACGGUUGAGACACCCUUGAUGAUUGAAGUGUAAUAACCCGGCAUAUGGAUGCUAAGCAAGCAGUGCCAAUCUGUUACAGUGUUAUUCUCAUUGAUGCCAUUGGUCGUUCCACCAUCGCCGACGUAAUGCUUUGCACAUGCAGCCACAUUUUUCCCGUGCCAGGAAAGCGUAAAAAAUAAAUCAGACGUACUUCCCAGUGCACCAAGAGAACAGAGUUCGUUUAUUGUACUUUCGAGAAUAAUUGUGCUUAUUUACUGCCACAUUCCAAAGUUAAACGAUGUAAAACGAAAGAGAAGAGGCAUCUUCCUUCAAUAGUUUAAUAUCUAACUGUAUAAGCAAGAUGAAUGGUUUUCUCAUCCAAAAUCCAAAGACAGGAGCGGCGGCAUAAGACAUGUAAUGUGUGACUUUCCUCUUACAUUGCACAACUUGAACGGAACUAGAAAUCAUGCUUGCGGGGAAUACAAGGAAAAAAUUAGCACUACCUGACAGCUUAAUGAGCUUCUAGAUAACCUAAAUUAUUACUAAGAUUCACCAGCAUGACUGUAUUACCCAUUACCAGAUUGUAUUUUAUCAUAAACACGAUCGAGCUAAUGAUCAGUUUUUCUCAGCCUUAUACAGGGAAGAUAGAAAGUUCGAGAAAUGUACAGAUAUAGAUUCGAAUGCAACUAAAAUCUGCAGAUUUUGUUAAAGAUUUGGACCUUUUUCUAACCAAGUUGAGCGACAACUACCGAGUCAAAGAUUGAAAAUGGGGUCAGGCCGAUCAUUAAAUUCAUCUUUUCGUGCUCUUCGUGCCGUGACGAUGAAUGGUAUGAUGACUUUCGUUUUUGUUCGCACGCUCCGCCCGAAUAUUUUAAGCGAACACAUGGUCCAUGACAGCAAAGUCCUAAUCAGAAAAGUCCAAUCAUGUUGCUUUUGUGGACCACAAAUAUCGUGCGCAUUCAUCGUCUAGAAAGCACUCCUAGUUUCCCAUCAGAAAAAUCCCUCUCUUUUUUCCACAAACGAGUCAGCCCAUCCAGGAUUUCGUGAGAUAAGUCAGUUCAAUUAGCAGAAUUUGACUAAGUGCUCGCGUUCCAUGCUGACCCACAAUUUGAACGAAAAACAAAGAAGUUGCUACCGCAGUUAUGGUUUAAUCGAACAGGACAUGCAAAAUGAAGAUACGUGCUCUAUACUGCAAAGAAGAUCUCUGGAGUUUGCUUACUUUCCGGCGACGUAGGGGACACCCUUCCGAGAACCAGCAGGAAGAUCACCUUGCAAUCCGGGGAUAAUCUCGGUCAUGGCCUGAACGAUCUUGGGAUCUUCGCUGUAGCUCUCGUAGCACCGACCCCAUCGCGGAUCCCUGCAGACCUGUAAACACGUAAAUGCCGAUAAGGUUGAGGACGAGACCGGUUUAUCUGGCUCUACGCGUCCUUUUUGCAAUUUUAUCGAAUGUAUCCAAAGAGACAAGCAGAGCCGCGCCCUCUCACCGCAAUGCAGGGCACAAAAACAUAUGGAAUUCCUGUAGCUCUCACUUCCAGUGCGGUCGCAGCUCCGAUACUCUUGACUAGUGCAGGAUCACUAUUGGGUGAAGACGGAAUUAAGCAAAUAGCUAAUGAUCGACGGCGGGACAGGCGCUAGUCGCCGGACGUGCGGGCUGCUGGGCGAGGAAGACAAACCGACGCCCUUUUUUUUAUCGCCCGCGCACGACUUUUCACGGACCAGUCACUUCACACCUUUUUUACUUUUCCACUUUUCCACCCCCUUUUCGAAUUUUCUCACACAAAUCUCUUUUUUACUCUGUGAAUUUUUCUCAAUUUUUUCAAAAAAACCUCCACCCGGUCACGAAAAUUGUGGCUCCUUUUUAUAAUAAUUUCCGGACAGCCAUUUUUAUAGCAACUUUCGAAUUUUCAUUUUCUGUCACAUUAAAUCAAAGCUAUAAAUCGGAUCGUAAUUUCGUAAUCAAUUCAAUUUUGCUCUGAUUUCUUCCAUUUUGUAAAAAUUUUUGCACUUUAUUCACUUGAUUUUCAAAUUACUUCUACAUUUGACAAAAUCCGAAUAUCCAUAGGAAUUUCAAAUUUCCAUACAUAAUCAAUCAAAUCAAUUUCCCCCAUUUUUUCAUUUUUUUCCUUUUAUUUAUUCAAAUGAAAUUUUUAUUUUCCUUAUUUCCCUAGAUUUGCUAAGAUUAGGUAUCAAAAUACAUGACGCACACCGCACACAAGCGAUCCUGUAUAUAUAUACAUACUCUCCACCUUGCCCUCUCUCUUUGUCAUCCCCUCGCUUGACCAUUCUUCCCUUCUCUCUCUCAAUCUUUCGCCCGAUGGAACUCAGCGCACGUCUUCGUGUCCGGCACGAAGAAGUCCUUAGAACACAAGAUACUUGGGCGCGGAAUCGAGAGAAGACGUCGAUAUCGUAAGUUGAUUUUUUUUAACAUCGUCUUACUUCACCAAAAUAUUUAUAUCUUUUUUUUCAGGCAAGCGAGAAAACAGCAUUACGAGAGAAUUCAUGAGGAAGCUACGAAGGCAAUGCUUGAGACAGUUCAGGAAGUCAAGAAUCAACGCACCUUGGUCCUCCACAGUGUGGACGACGCCAAGGCGUUUAUGAAAGUCUUGCCAACGCAUUUUCAGGACCGCGGCAGAUUGCAACAGGUGGAGGUCUUUGCCGGGCUGGCCUCAUCAGUUAAGACAUCAAUCCAUAGGAUUUUAGGACCAAGUUUGUUUUUAACCAACACAAUUUAUAGAUUUGACCCCCCUGCUCCCGCUGCUCCGAGCAGCUCCUCCAGCUCGGGGUACAGCUCAGGCUCAGGGUGCAGCUCGGGCUAGUGCUUCUGGUAGUCUACUAUAUUGCCUAGUUCUUUUCUUCUUUUUUAAAUAAAAGAAAAAAAACAUAUAGGAGGACUUGUGAAUAUUAUAUUACACAUGCUUGUAUAUGAAUCCUACAGGACUUGUGAAUAUUAUAUUACACAUGCUUGUAUAUGAAUCCUACAGGACUUGUGAAUAUUAUAUUGCACGUGCUUUUAUAUUUCUCCUCCUGUCCCGAUCCAUUGAAAUGGACCUUUCUUGUGAGAAGGAUUUAGCUUAUCUUUAUUAGUGGGAGAAUCACAGUAGGUAGGGCGGCGACAGAACUCUUCCAAGAAAUUGAUUGAUAUAUCUUGCUUUCAGAAUGACAACAUGGUAGUGUUGAGUACUUCAAACAGGUGCCUAAAGCAGACCAUAAAGAAUCCUUACAGAGGGAAUCAAAUCAUAUGUAAUGCAGAAGAUGGAAUUGGGAAAACGUGACAAACCAACCAAAAAUUAAGAUGAAUGGAGCUGCCGCAAUCAAUAGAAACUCAAUGCCAGCAAAAUUUGACAUUUAUGAGAACAGAUUAAAAUCCGCACGUAGAGUCUUCUCGGCAUCUGUCUCUAUUUUUUACAGGAUGUGCAUGAACAUGCACGAAGAUCAUUGAGAGUCAAUGACGAGAAUCUUUAUUCUUAAGGAGUUAAGGAAGCUCGGUGUUCAAAGGGAAAGGAAAACUACACUAUAAAAUUAAGAGAACAAUGUACACUUAUGUCAAUCUGUACAGCCCAAUUUACAAAAGUGCAUGAAGGAAAAAAGGUGUUCCCUAACGCCGGUCAAGACUAGUUCUUGACGAUUUUUACGCUGCUGUAGAAUCGCUCGAGAUCUUUCAUAGCCUUCUCUUCGAUCUGGAUUGCGCGAAUAGACGAGGGUGCAUCGACCUCCGGUUUGAACCAGCGGUUCAUUCCGGCAGAAUCUGAAGGCGGGCCCUGCCUGGAUGUGACUGCAAAUCCGGUCGUUCGCGUCUUUGGACUGUGGGAGAGACUCUGGUGCUGUUUACCCUUUGGUUAGAUAAGAAGCAAAAGUUUUUUUUUUUUUUUUUUGUGAAAGGUAAGAAAUAUACUGACUUAGAACCAAGAGGCUAUACAACCGUACAGCAAGGGACCUGGAACCAAAAAGCUUACACUUAGAAGAUAAGGUAGUCAAAAGAGUAGAAGGGUACCAGGGGUAAAGCUGCAGAACAGGGAAAGAAAGAACGGCAGCAAAGAACCAGGCUAAGACAACAGCCACAGCAAAGGAGAGAAGGGCCAAACAAGGCAGCCUGCACACGAGACAGAGAAAGAAGGGAGAAACAAAAACAGCAAGACAGCGAAACACCAAAUGCUUGAUUCUGGUAAUCCAUCUUAGAAUCCAUCUUAAUUCAUUUGACACUUUUAUGCUUUUCAGGUUGAUCAGGUUUUGGGCUUCAUUGUUUUAUGUUUCUCUAUGUAUUAUAGACAUCCGUAAUUUUGUUAGUUUACUUGUUUUAGAGAAGCCGGACAGACAUCAACAUAGUACUGUACGUCAAAAUCAACUUAGAUGCAAGAGACGAGUGGACAUGCUGAUGACAGACAAGUUGAUAUAAGCAUUGACAGAUAUAUCAAACUGUACAAUCUAAAUGUUUUUCAAUGGUUAUUCUCUUAUCGGCUGGAAUUUUAAUGGUAAAGCUGGAGGAAGAGUCGAAAAUUGUAAAACUUGGUUGACGACAUUUCAUCUUUCUUCUAUUGAGGUUUUUUUUUUUUGAUCUGACUUCUAUUGAGGUUGAAAGACGUGCUUUGAGCAGGUUUGUCAAUGUAGACCUGCUGUGUAUAAAGAUUACUUACUAGGUUUAGUUCAAAUGCUUUACUGUUGUUCCUUUUCAAGUGCUGAACGUAUUCUCCUCUGUUUUUAUCCUCUAAUUUUGCAGGAGGAGCCCCAUAUCUAUUGCAGCAGCUAUUAUUUACAUUAUCAUUCAGCUCUCUGAAGAGAAGAAGUCUCCCCAAGGUUUUAGUUUCCCCAAUCCUAUUCAAUUUAAACAACUAAAGACAUAUUGGUGCAUAUGUAAAUGGCAUUUGAGACAACACGUGCAUAUAAAUAAUCGAAUGUUUGUGCAAAUAUCACUUGCUACUGGAGUCAGCGAGGGGAUGAUUAGGAACUCCUCCAAGGAUUUGUAUCCUCACAUUUUGAAGAUAAAUACCAAGCUGGUAUGCCAAGAAAGAGGAUCUAAAGAAUUUCUACAGCUUUUGAGUGUGCGUAGAUAUACAAACAAAAUCAACAUUAGUUAACUUUCAGUUAGUUUUGGAAAUCAGAACAAUCUUGAAUUUUUAAUUAUUGUUAUAAAGAAUAUAGUCGUUCUUAAUUCUCACUCUUUGUAUUGUUGGAAGAUAUCUUGAAAACUUUAUUAUUCAAACAUCGAAAUGUUGUGUUCGAGUUCUUUUUGGCCCUCGACUACAGAAUACCAGUGUCAUACAAAAUACACCGCUUUGAUUUCGCAUGAUAAUGUGGGCGAGAAGACGCAGCGUUGUUCAACUCUGAUGAGAUGUUGGUUUAAUAAGUUAUAAGUCCAUCCACUUUGAUCUUUUAAGCUCUCAAUUCAUCUAGUUAAAUCUCAUUAGUAGUCUCCACCUUCGACCCGUUACUUCCUUUGAUUGGUCAUCAUAGUAAAACUCAAUUUCACUAGGUAUGUUUCUGUGCUUGAAGAGAUAAAACUCUGCACUCUGUAGUCUUAGAGUCCCGAUUUCAAUUAAUAUGAAUCUAUACGAAAUGAUGCAUAAAUUAGGUAAACCAUAAGCGCAUUUCCAUUUGUCCUCCUAAAAGCUUGGUAGAGUUUUAACAAUGGCAUUUCAUGGAUGCUAGUAUUGCUCAUUUUGCAAAAAAAAUCAUCACUACAACCAGAAAAUGAACCCUUAUUGACAGAAAAUUAGUGAUAUUUUGACGAUACAAUAUAUAUGAUACAAGCUUUUAGUAUCAUACAGAAGAACCUUCUAAAAGCUUGGGGAGAUAGAACAAGGCAAGAGAAGAAAAUAAAGGUAAAUGCACCGGUUGACUGGAGCUAAAAGUUAUGUAUUGGACAGAGCCACUCAGCAACCUCUUUCUAGUUAAACGCAUGCACUAACUCAUCUUUAUACUAUUCUAGCACCUGCAACAUUUGAGUAAGACGAAUGUACAUCAACUAACACUAUAAUCUCAUUUUCUAUAACAAAAGCUAUACACAGGGCAUUCCAUUCCCGGUUCAAUUUGUGUAAUUGGUUGCUGAGUUGCAUGCCAAUUUCCAAACUUUCUUGUGCUUUGCUUGACUUUAUGGAUUCUUGGUCGUGCUUGAUUGAUCUGUUCAGGAGUUGCAGCAAGAUAUACUAAUGGAGUAAUUGAUGUUGACUUGGAACUUAGAAGAUCACUAUCAGAUAUCAACAAUGAUUUUGCCAUUUGUGAUAUACUUAUAUGAUUAUUGUUUUGUUCAUGUUACUCAAGAAUGAUGAUAGGCCUAAUGUUGCAAACAUUAGAGUUAGCAUAUAAUCACGGCAUUGUCUAAGGACCACACUUCGAAAACCACGAAGUGGUAAAAGUCGCAAAUUUCCUUUAACAAGCGAAGAUUAAGACCAUGCUAAUCACCCUCGCAUUGACUUGUGAGGCUUUUUUAAAUUUAAAAAAAAAAGACUUAAUUUUUGUGUCCAAUCUUGUGUAUGGAAGAUUACAUUGGAUGUUGGGCAGAAUUAUGGGGUUUUUAUUGAAUGGAGAAUUAUCUUAUUGAUGAUGUAAACUUGCAAUUGUAACUUCAAAAAGUAGAAACACGCGAGGAAGUUCAACCAUAAACCGGAAUCAUCCAUUAUUCAUGGUCUUGCUGCAUUCCAUGUUGUUUAAAAAUGCAGAACAGCUAUUACACAACUUAUAAAUCCAGCUAAAAAAGACCAAGAGCAACAAAUAAUUAAUAAACAAACAUAUAUCCGUAGUUGAAAAACUAACUUUAAAGAGGUGAAGAGGUUGCAAAAUCAAAGUGAUGCAUAACAACUCUGUGGAUGCCACGUGAAUGAUGUUCUGAUUUUGUUAAUUAAUCACCAGCUCAAUUCUAGAAGGCAACUUUCCCUUGAGCCGUUGCAAAGCAAAUUCUCUAGGUUCCUUCAAUCUUUUCAUCCCAUCCGGGAAAUAUGCUUCUUCACAGGGAUUCACCACUAACUUCUCUAAAGAAAUGGCAUUCUCAACAAGGUAAUUCACCAGUUCAUGAUCACAAGAUCAACCAUAAUAGUUGUAAAAUUCAACCUCCUUUAGGUACAUAUGGGAAGAUCUAGCAACUCUUUUCAAUUCUCUCUGCCUACAUAGCAUAUUUGACGGCCACGUCAACGGUUGACGUGAAAAAGAAGAAUGCCGUAUAUUAUUAAUCACCAAAAGAUAUCAAUGGAUUGGAGAAUGCUAGUGGAAGAGAGAAUUUGCCAAAAAAAAAAAGUAUGCAUGCGUGAUUGUCACAUCAUGUAAAUACUAAUCACGUGAUGUCCUAAUGAUGCCUAAAAGCAGAGACUUGAAUAGGAUUCAAUAGUGGCUUGGUUUAUUAUAUUCUAUCCUCCUACAUUUGUCUAAUGUCUAACUAGAUGGAGAUUUGAAUGAGGCUAAAAUCCCACCUCAAACACAAAACUUCGCAAGGAGGGACAUGCCUUGAUCACAAGAGUGAAUGGAAGUAGGCUUGCAUCUCCAUAUCCUUGAACACUCACUUUCAAUUGCUUACACUUGGCAAUUUAGGCACAGAUAUGCCAGUUUUCCUACAUGAGAGAGAGAGAGAGAGUAUCAAUGACAACAAAGAUAGCAAAAACGACAUAACCUAUGAAACCUUAUGAAAAUCAGUCAAGGCUUUUACAUCAGGUGAAAUAACAUAGUCAAGUUUGAGAAUCUGCAGACAAGAAAGACUCGAAAGAAAAGACAAGGCUGCAUGCACAAACCCCCAGCUAGUUCCCAUAAUACAUAUCUCAGACAGAAGGGGAAGCUUGUCCAAACACAUUGGAAUAUCCAUUCCCAUGAUAGUGAAGGAUGCAAGAUUUGUGUCAAAAAUCUCAACGCGUUCAAGAUCGACACAACAUGAUACGAGCAAGUAUUUCAACUUCGAUGAUCGGCCAGAAACUCUCAACUUAUCCAAAGCAAAAGCAUCGUGCAAAGUUAAUCGCUCUAGAACCGAACAAUUGGCAAACAAUUGCUCGAUGAGUUCUCCCUCUACAGUGAUUCGAUGCAAGGUGAGCUCUUCAAGAUACCUCAAGCAAACAUGCCAAGAAGGGCUAAAGGCAAAAUUAUUUAGACAUGAAGCCCAUUGUGAACACCCUACAUCAGCAUCCAUAAGUGUCUUCCAGCCUAAGAGAUAUGGCAAGUGACUCGGGUCACGAUCAUUCAUUAAAUCCUCUAGAGAUGCUGGGUUAAAAAUCAGUUGGAGAACAUUAACUCGUUUUGCCAACACAAAUCUAAUCUACCGAUUGAUGUGAGACUGAUAUGAAAUAUUCAAGUUGAAGCCUAAUGCAAAUCUACGUAAGUGGUAUCCUUCAAAUUGUGGAUACAAGGCAUUGUCCACCCAUUCCACGUAUCUCUCCCUCUCCUUUUCUGCCAACUCGGGGUUAUCUUUCAUCUCGUCCAACAACUCACGCCGGUCGAAGUCGAGGUUGGUGACCCGACAUGCAGACAAAUGCCUCCAUCUUCUGGAAAGAAGACAAGUGGCUUGUGCUUCUCUAGACUUCAAAAGAGACAAUAUAAAGCCUAUAACGUCUUCAGGCAAACGGCUGAUCCGAUCCUCCGUUGGGUUGAGUUUCACCAAAAGAAAAAUAAAGAAAGUUAGAAAUAUCUGGAAAUAAGACGGAUGGAAGGUAGGAAGGAAGCAGGAAAACUUAUCAAACAAACAUGAGAAACUCAAAUUUCCUGUCAAGGACAUUCAUUUCCAUUAACACAACCAAGAAAAAGCACAAAGCCGAAAGUUACCUUGUCGGCAGAUUCGGCUUCAGAAUCAGAGCGGAGCCUGUUUGGAGAUGGAGAAUCCAUGGACGCUGGCAUUAGUUCACCCUCCAGUACGUUUUCUCCUCUUAGCCUUCCCGAUCACAUCCUGCGGCUGCGUCUUCAGGUUUUAGGCAAAUCUUCUAAAGCGCCCUCCGAGGGGAUAUCUUUUUUGAAAUUCCUAAUCAGCGAUAUCUUUUUUAACCACGGAUGAGGAUUCUGGCCCCAAAUAAGUAAAUAAAUAAAUAAAUACCAUAUAUGAGGAUUAACAUUGUGAAAAUUUAUAUUGCACAAAAAAAAAAAAAUGAAGAGAAAUAUGUUAUUGCUAAUGGCAUGUCUUAAAUAAUUUUUAUAUUUUCACUUUGAAAGUUUUUCCGUAUGCGAUACUUGAAAAUUUCAAAUUUAGAUUUUUAAAUGAACAAUGAAAUAUGAUAAUUUAAUUAGUAUGAGAAACGAAUUUUUUUUUACCUAAUUUGUUUGUAAUUCAUGCACGCGAAUCACCUUUCAAUUUCGAGCCAAACCACGCAUCAGAUGCUUAAUCCAUCAUUCAUAGAUAUAUAAUUGUACUUUUGAAAAAAAAAUAAAAAAUAGGAUCCGAUCUCAUCUUUAUAGAUUACCUCCAAGAAAAGGAUGAUUAAUAUCACAGCCUUCAAUCAAGGGAAAACCCCUAACAAACAACGCAAGCUAUUCACCAAUUGCCGACGAAAUUCUUGAGCAUUUGUGUUUUCUUCUAAAAUCAGCUUCAACUGAGAUUUCCCUUCCCUGUAGAAGAGCUCAUCAUCUUCCGAUCUGACCUUCUCUCUCUCUCUCUCUCUCUCUCUCUCUCUCUCUCUCUCUCUCUAUUUAUGGAAAGGGAGGAGUCGAGAUCAAAGGAUCAGCAAAGCUCGGCGGACGCGGAAGCAGCGGAGGCUGUGAAGCUGUUCUUAUUUCAAGCCUGCGAGUGCUCCGUCUAUUUGGUACAUGUUGAUCAUCAGAAAAGGGCAUUCAUACUCCCGCUUAAUCUAUCGAAUCGCGUAUUGGUUGCUGAGUAGCCUGCCAAUUUGCAAACUGUUUUGCUUGACUUCUUAGUUUCUCAUUAAGCCUGCAAAAUUACCUAACUGAGUUGAUCUGCCUGCGUUGGGAUUCAAUUUCUUUUUCUCCUUAUGUUGUUGCUUUUAAAGAAUAGAUGAAUCCAUGAACUGACUCAUCAAAUUAGAGAGGAAGCUUAGGGCGCGCAUGACAAAAUUUCGGUUUCUCGAUUUCUCUGUUUCUCUGUUCCCCGGAACAGGUUUGGAACAUAAAUUUGUUUGGUAACGCAAUUUGAUUUCUCUAUUUCUGAAAUAGAUUUCUAUUCCAGAAAUAAAGAAAUUGAAGAAAUCAGAAGCUAAAAUUUUUAACUUCUCAGUUUCUGAAAUAGAAAUCGGAAACUGAAAUCAAACUAUAUAAAAGAACCUUGCGCUUUCUUGCUAACUUAAUUCACUCAUAACCACAACUUCACAAAUUAUUGCUAAUUUUCUUUUUCUUAUUUUGCUUGUGUUUUUUUUUUUCUUUUUUGCAUUUUUUUCAAUUUUUUUUUUUUUGAUAACUUCUUCAGGAUGAAAGGCAAUCGAAUGGGUCCCCAAUUUUCAAAAACGACCAAAGUUCUUAAAUGCUUACUUAGCUUACUUAAAAACAAUAGGGUUCUUUCCUCCUAGAAAAGGCACGCGCAUGGCCAGUUAAAGAAAAAGUUCUUACGAAAUAGAUGAAUAAAAAACAUGCCUAGAAAUUUAACCUUAUUUUUUUACGAAUUCAAAAUUCUUGCAAAAUCAAAAUAAUUAGAUUGUUACACAAUCUUGAAUUUUAAUUCGAAGGCAAUAGAUUCAAGAGAAUUUCUCUCUUUGCUAUGCAAGGGCCAUUAAAGGUUCAUUGAGCAACAAUAAAGAAAUUAGGGAUGAGCAACUGGACUGAUUCUAUUCGAGAAUCAAAAUAAACUGACCUUCCCCCAAUUGGUUUCUAACCAUAAACGUUACUUUAAGAUAGAAUUCUUAUAUAUUCCUUUACACCAUUAAUUUUAUUUUGUUGAUAAUCUUGUAUAAUACUAGUUUUUGAUAAAAUGACAAGGCUGUAUAAGCGUCAUUGAUAGCACCCAUAUUCAUGCUUCUGCAGUACUUGUCUGAACUUAUACAAGAUGAGCUUGCAAACGAUACAUUGAUCGAGGAGGGAAACCAAAUAAAUACGCUUAGGAAAUAAUUACUAAUAAAAUGGCAAGGGAUAAUAAUAUGUCGGAAAUUCCAUGAAAUUGUAUUUUCAACUUUUGUAAUAUAUUAGUAUUAUUUUGACUAUUAUUUUGUAUUUAAGGAUUUCCUAUGUUAUUUUAGUAUUAUUUCGACUAUUAUUUUGUAUUUGAAGAUUUCCUAUGUUGUUAUCUAAUUAAUUUCUAUUCCUAGAAAUAGAAAUUUUGUUCUAUUAUCAAACGGAUUUAUGUUUUAGAAAUAAAAAUUUUGAAUCGUUAUCAAACGGGUUUUUUUGCUCAGAAACUUGUUUGGGGAAUAGAAAUUAAGAAAUUGAUCUAUAGCUAGAAAUCAAUUUCUAUUUCAGAAAUUUUGUCAUGCGCAGGUCGGGUUAUUGACAAGGCACGAAGGUGGUGGUGAAAGUCUGGCCCUAGCCAUCCACAAAUCAUGAAAGUAAUUUGGAUUUUGAUUUGGGGUUAAAUACAAAUGGCAUGUGGACAUUCCUUAAAUUAUGAAACGGCUUCCAACUUUGAGUUUGGUCUUGACAAAUCAUAUUUAAAUUCGAGAUAUCAAUCUCAAUAAUUUGUUAGAAAAAUGUAUAUCAUGGAGAUGAAAUCAAAGUUGCAGAGGGGACAUGACAUCAUUCAACAAGGCUCAGUCAUUAAAAUGUUAAGAUCUACCAAACUUUGUUUAGCACAUGGCAAGAUUUUCAAAUUGAGUUUUAUACUUCAAAUAAAACCAAGCUUCUUGUCUUCUAUUAUUUCAUUUAUACAGAAAUAAAAAGGAUCUUCCCUCUCAUACUUGUUUGUUGAGGAAAAGUAAUAAUUUGUCAUAAAAAUCAUACAUUAGAAAAAAAAUAGAAAAAAGGAAGGGCCGAUGAGGGUGACAAGUAGAAUUCACCUAAUAUCAAGAGGCCUUUAAAAUAAACCACUGAUGCUCUAAUCCCCAGAGCGGUUGCCCACUUUGACCACCAUUUUUGCUACACAAAAAAUACACACACCCCACUGAAAUGCAGUCAUGCUGUAAGUCCGAAUUUGUGUACUUUUUUUUUACAAUGUGCAAUUAUAUUUUAUUAGGAAUAAAAUGAGAAAAUGUAAAUUAUCUGUACAUUGGUUGGUGGUUAAGAUACGCGCGCGUAGUCGACGUCCACCGUUGGAAGCGCGUGGGUGUGAAACUCUUAAUGCACACAAGGGAACCUAAUCUUGCUACCCGACUGGGACCUUUUGUUUUUUUUAUUUUUGGAUCUGCGACUGGUAUUUACUAGAGAUGUCAAAUGGAUCAUUGACCCAAUUAUUGACCCAUUUAUGUUUAAAUGGGUCAUUAAUGGGUCAGGCCUUAUUUCCCAAGGCACUAUGAUUGGUUUUAAAAAUAAAAUGACUAAAAUAUAUAAGUCUUAAAUAAGUGUACUUCGUAACCCUCUGUACUCAUUUAAGACCCAUUUACCAAUCCAUUAAAGAUAACCUACAAUCUAGUCUACCCUACUAGAGGUGGUAAAAUUAUAAUUAUUUUUUAUUUUCUUUUUUUAUUUUUUAUUUUUUCUUUCUUUCUUCUUCCUCCGGUGGCUGGCGACCGGCCAAGCGAGCUUCGAGCUCGCCAGAUCUGAUGAGGCAAAGGGCUUGCCUCGCUAGAUCUGGCGAGGGGCAAGCUCGGGCUCGCCAGUGCUUGAACUCGCCCAACACUGGCGAGCCUCGAGCUCGCCAAAUCUAGCCUCUAGCAAAGCUCUAGCCUCACUGACAUCCGGUGAGGCUUGAGCCUUUGGCGAGGCUUGAGCUCACCAACGUUAGGCGAGGCUCGAGCCUCAAGCUCGCCAACAUCAGCGAACCAGGCGAGCUCGAGGCUCGCCUGUGGCCGGCCGCCGACAGUCGUCGUGGCCGGUGGCCGGCCAAAGAAGAAGAACAAAAAAAUAAAAAAUAAAAAUAAAAAUUAUAUUUAAAAAAUAAUUAAAAUUCGAUUUUUUAAAAUAGUUAUUUUAAAAAUUAUAAUAUUUAUAUUAAAAUUAAAACUGAGGUAAAAUGACUUCGUUUUUUUUCUUAUCUAGUUACGUCGUCAUAUAAAACGGCGUCGUUUUUGGCUUAUCUAAUCAUGUCAGUAUGCAAAACAAUGUCAUUUUGUACUUGUCUUGUUGGAAAAACCAUGUUAGGAUUUUGCCUGGAUUAUUUCGCAAGUAGUACUUAAUUGAUCAAUUUUGUUCUGAUUUUGACACUUAAUUAUACAUUUCCUAACUUUUGACACUUAAAUAAUCUCAUAUCAAAUUUUGGCACUCUAGGGUUCGGGUGUCCGAUAAUUACUUCCAAUCAAAUAUACACAUGGCAAAAUUUUCUUUUUCUAAUAACAUAUGUAAACCAAAAAUCAACAUUUAUACAAAAAAUCCUAUAAAAUUAAAAUUUACAUGAAACACAAUAACAUAUAUAUGUUUAAUAUUUUUAAAAUGGUUCACAUUAAAUAGAAUAGUUUUUAACUACGUUAGAAUAAUAACUUGUUGUGAGUCAUAAAUUCUUGAAGAAGUAGACUUUAGGACAAUUUAUAAUUAUUUAUCAUUUAAUUUUUUAUGAUCUAAAAUAGAUGUUACUCUCAUAAUAAAUUAAAAAUUAUCACGCAAUCAUAUAUCUUACUUGUGCGAACAAAAGAGAUUAUUAUUAUUUUUUUGUCGGUGACCAAAAGAGAUUUUUUUUAAAGAGAUUAAAAAAAACUUUUCUUGUAAGUAAAUAUCGGCUAUUUUCACUCCCAAAACAGAGAUAAAAACAAGUCUUACGCGCUCGUUCUAGAACGAAAAAGACCGUCAACGUACGUGAAACCGAAACUGCUCAUCGCCGUGUGGGCUGUAGUCUAGACUCAACUAGAGAACAUCGAACUCUUACUUCGCAUGCGGGCGAGUUUAAUGUCUGUCGGUAGGCAGAAUCUAUCCCUCGCAGUUGCAGGCCAAGAAGGGGCGGUUCCUGCAGUUCGAUAUAAGCGGCAGCUCGACGCGUCCUCUGGCACCCGACCGAGGAAGCUCCACCUCACCCGACAUCGUCGCGUCGCUUUCGUUUCUGGGAUCGAGCAGUCCCUUUGGCUGUCGGACAAGACGCGAGGUGAGAAGCACUGCGAAACGCCUUUUGGGUUUUGGUUUUUCGUGAUCAUGCAACGUGAUGUUGUGAACCGUUAGACAUCCCUCUCUGUCUUUCAAUCCGUAAUUUCGGAGCGUUGAAUGGUUAUGGUGCGAGAGUAUGGGUUUGGGGAUGUAUAAUCAUGUGAAAUUGUGGGUUUUGUGAUGGGCGCUGUGUUCUGCACGAGCGAUCGAUCGCGUUCGGCUUUGAAUGAUAAAAACAGCGAAGGGCGUCUCGGUUCUCGCCGAGAAGUGUUGAGUUCUUUUUGUUUUGCUGCAAGGAAGCAUUGUGUCGUCCUUGUAAAUGGUAGCGUUUUCAUUUUCUUUCUCGUCUAUUGAAAGAAGAAAAAGAUCAUGCGGAGGGAUUGUCUUGUCAGAGUGUGAUGAAAAUCUUGAUUGGUGUUCACUUCGAUUUGGCUAGGGUAGGAAUUGACAGAGACUAGAGGGAAGUUUUCAUUUCUUGGAAACGAUCCAGAAGUUUAACUUCUGAUGCUGUAAAAUUAAGUCGGCUGCAAGCACGUUUUUUGGUUUCCUUGCUUGAUCCACCAGAUAGAGUAAGAACACAUCAAUGGAAUUUUUUGUGAAAAUAGUUGCAUUAUAUCGAGAACCUUAGUCAGAACUGAACUUGAAUCCCUUAUGUCAUCCACAGCUUCUUGGGCAUGUUGGAUGUUUCACCAUAUUGACUUAUAUGUUAUCACAAACAUAAUAAAUAGAGCUGGUUAAUUAAUCAUACACAUCUAGCUUUUUCUUUGAUUCUUCACACCUUUUUCAUCGCACUUCUUGUCCAUAAACUGUCGACUGCUUGUUGACCUCCAAAGGAGUCUUUCACUAGAAAUCCUGCUCUCUAGGGUGCCAAGAUGUUAUGGAAAAAGGUGAGUGAAAGGGGGUGCUGUGAACCAAAGUGUUCGAGGUACAUGGGAUACACAAAAGCUUAAAAACCAGGGACAAGAUGAACUAUUUUAUUUUUGCAACAUCAUAGCUUGGAGGUGAAUUAAGAAAUUUUGAUGUAAUUUGGUAUAGUACAGUCAAAAAAAAUUCGCUGCACACCUAGUGGCCAAGGGGCCCUGAUGGCCCUCGCCAACCCCUAGGGCUGUAAUUGUGCUAUAUAAUCUUUUCUUUGGCAAUGCUUGCCAUGCUACCCUCUUUGCAUUGUUAUUUUUCACGGAUAUGAGGUAGAGAAUUUGUCAAAAAGUAUGAUAAGUCAUCACUGAUUGUUUAAUGCAAUUGCUUUGUGUGUAGGUUUAGAAGACAAAGGAGGCAAAGGAAGUACUUUUCAAGUUUCAGCUAACACAGCCAACAUGCAAGGAGAAUCUCAAUCCAGUGCAUGCGAGGAAAAAGUGAAAAAGGAAGAGUUAAGAGUCAAGCUGAAGAGCAAGGCUACAGACCCAGAUGAUGUGCCGGAAGAGAAGACUGAGAUGGAAAUGGAAUUAAAGACCAAAACUGUGGAGAAAAUCAAGCCACAUCAUGAGAAAGACAAGAAGGAGAAGCUUAAAAAAGAGGAUAAGGAGAAAUCGAAGAAAAUGGAUGUGGGUGAAAGGAAGGAAAAGGACAAAGGGAGAAAGGGCAAAGAAUGCGAUUGUGAUGACGGCGAUAAUGAUGAAGUCAGGACAGGUGAAGAGGAAGCGAGGGAGAAAGAGAAGAAGGAGAAAUGCAGUAUUAAUGGUGAUCAAGAUAAAAGAAUUGAGAAUGAUGAGUCCCUGGAGACUAAGAAAAAGAAAGGGAAUAAGAAAGAGAAUAAGUAUGAGAAAGGCAAGGAAAAAGAAGAGAUGGAUACAGAGAAACGCGGUGGGGAUUCAGAGGACAGUGAAGAAUAUUGUAAGAGGAAGAAAAAAGAGAAACAUAAGGACAAGAAUGUCAAGAAGGGAAAUGAUGAGAACUCCAAGGAGAAAGGAGUAAAGAAGAUUAGAAGUGACGACAGAGAGGAGGAGAAGAAAAAGGGAAGCGAAGAAUACAUAGAGAUAUAUGAAGGGAGGGCAAAUGAUGAGGAGCAAAAGAAGGAUAUACAUGGGAAAGAGAAAUAUAAAGGCAAGAAAAAGGAUGAAAAACACAAGGAGAAAGAUAAAUCUAAAGGAAAAGAGGAUGACGAUUUGGAUAAAGGAGAAAAGAAUAAGAAAAAGGAUAAGGAAGAGAAAGAGAAGGAUAAGCACAAGAAUGCAGCAGAUGAGCAAAAAGGCACAAAACAUGAG